rnacentral:rRNA from 1 species
GACGAUCGCUGGCGGCGUGCUUAACACAUGCAAGUCGAACGGAAAGGCCCUGCUUUUGUGGGGUGCUCGAGUGGCGAACGGGUGAGUAACACGUGAGUAACCUGCCCUUGACUUUGGGAUAACUUCAGGAAACUGGGGCUAAUACCGGAUAGGAGCUCCUGCUGCAUGGUGGGGGUUGGAAAGUUUCGGCGGUUGGUGAUGGACUCGCGGCUUAUCAGCUUGUUGGUGGGGUAGUGGCUUACCAAGGCUUUGACGGGUAGCCGGCCUGAGAGGGUGACCGGCCACAUUGGGACUGAGAUACGGCCCAGACUCCUACGGGAGGCAGCAGUGGGGAAUAUUGCACAAUGGGCGGAAGCCUGAUGCAGCAACGCCGCGUGCGGGAUGACGGCCUUCGGGUUGUAAACCGCUUUCGCCUGUGACGAAGCGUGAGUGACGGUAAUGGGUAAAGAAGCACCGGCUAACUACGUG